AUUAGAUACCCGGGUAGUCCACGCCCUAAACGAUGUCGACUGGGUGUUGGGAAGCGAUUUCCCAGUACCGUAGCUAACGUGUGAAGUCGACCGCCGUGGG
rnacentral:rRNA from 1 species